AAGCGCGCGUAGGUGGUUUAUCAAGUUGGUUGUGAAAGCCCCGGGCUUAACCUGGGAACUGCAGCCAAAACUGAUUCACUAGAGUACGAAAGAGGAAAGUAGAAUUCACAGUGUAGCGGUGGAAUGCGUAGAUAUUGUGAAGAAUACCAAUUGCGAAGGCAGCUUUCUGGUUCUGUACUGACACUAAGGUGCGAAAGCGUGGGGAGCGAACAGGAUUAGAUACCCUGGUAGUCCACGCCGUAAACGAUGACAACCAGCUGUUGGGAAGCAAUGCUUUUCAGUGGCGCAGCUAACGUCUUAAGUUGUCCGCCUGGGGAGUACGGCCGCAAGGCUAAAACUCAAAUGAAUUGACGGGGACCCGCACAAGCGGUGGAGCAUGUGGUUUAAUUCGAUGCAACGCGAAAAACCUUACCUACACUUGACAUACUUGGUAUCUUCUGUAAUCGAAGAGUGCCUUUUGGAACCAAGAUACAGGUGCUGCAUGGCUGUCGUCAGCUCGUGUCGUGAGAUGUUGGGUUAAGUCCCAUAACGAGCGCAACCCUUACCCUUAUUUGCCAGCGAUUCGGUCGGGAACUAUAAGGGGACUGCCGGUGAUAAACCGGAGGAAGGUGAGGACGACGUCAAGUCAUCAUGGCCCUUACGUGUAGGGCUACACACGUGCCACAAUGGGGAGUACAGAUGGACGCUAAAGCGCGAGCUGGUGCUAAUCCCAAAAAACUCCUCGUAGUCCGGAUUGCAGUCUGCAACUCGACUGCAUGAAGUCGGAAUCGCUAGUAAUCGCGAAUCAGCAUGUCGCGGUGAAUACGUUCUCGGGUCUUGUACACACCGCCCGUCACACCAUGGGAGUGUAUUGCACCAGAAGUGGGUAGUCUAACCUUUAGGAGGACGCUCACCACGGUGUGAUCCAUGACUGGGGUGAAGUCGUAACAAGGUAACC
rnacentral:rRNA from 1 species